CGAAUACUGGAUCAGCAACGAUCUUUUACGCCGGAUAACCAAGCAUGACCUCAGAGUGAUCAUUCAAGAGGGUGAUGUCGAAACUGAUGUGAUCAACGUUUAUAUUGACUUGUUGAAGUUCGAUGCCGGAAAGCUAAAGGCUAAAGUGGGAUUUCUCAGUAUAGACGUAGCGUACUAUGCGAUAAAUCAUGAGAUGAAGAAGGAAGCAGGUGAGGAUACCCGACCGUUUGAGUGUGGUGUCGAAACAAUGUUGAUCGAACCGCUGUGGUCGAUCUUUCGUUUCCCAAAGGUGUUAGUACCAAUUCACCACAGCACAAGCCGACACUAUAGUUUGCUGGUAAUCGACAAUGAACUAAGGUGCUUUACUAACAUGAAUUCAUUGAGGCCACCAAUCAAUGA